GGUGAACGCUGGCGGUGGGCCUAACACAUGCAAGUCGAACGGCAGCACAGUAAGAGCUUGCUCUUACGGGUGGCGAGUGGCGGACGGGUGAGGAAUACAUCGGAACCUACUUUUUCGUGGGGGAUAACGUAGGGAAACUUACGCUAAUACCGCAUACGACCUACGGGUGAAAGCAGGGGAUCUUCGGACCUUGCGCGUUUGAAUGAGCCGGUGUCGGAUUAGCUAGUUGGCGGGGUAAAGGCCCACCAAGGCGACGAUCCGUAGCUGGUCUGAGAGGAUGAUCAGCCACACUGGAACUGAGACACGGUCCAGACUCCUACGGGAGGCAGCAGUGGGGAAUAUUGGACAAUGGGCGCAAGCCUGAUCCAGCCAUACCGCGUGAGUGAAGAAGGCCUUCGGGUUGUAAAGCCCUUUUGUUAGGAAAGAAAAGCAGCAGGUUAAUACCCCGCUGUUCUGACGGUACCCAAAGAAUAAGCACCGGCUAACUUCGUG
rnacentral:rRNA from 1 species